rnacentral:tRNA from 1 species
UCCCUGGUGGCUCAGAGGGUAAAGAAUCUGCCUGCAAUGCAGAAGACCUGGGUUUGAUCCCUGGGUUGGGAA